UGCUCCGUGGCGCAAUUGGUUAGCGCGUCUGACUGUUAAAUUAGAACGGAAUCAGGAGGUUGAGAGUUCAAGCCUCUCCGGAGCAG
rfam:Calocera viscosa TTFC12733 unplaced genomic scaffold CALVIscaffold_31, whole genome shotgun sequence.